rnacentral:rRNA from 1 species
GAGUUUGAUCCUGGCUCAGAAUGAACGCUGGCGGCGUGCUUAACACAUGCAAGUCGAACGAGGCCGGGGUGCUUGCACCCCGAGUCGAGUGGCGAACGGGUGCGUAACACGUGACCAAUCUGUCCUAGGGUGAGGGACAACCUGGGGAAACCCGGGCUAAUACCGCAUGAUGUCCAGACCUCGCAUGGGGACUGGACCAAAGAGGGCCUCUGCUUGCAAGCUCUCGCCAAAGGAGGAGGUCGCGGCGUAUCAGCUAGUUGGUGGGGUAACGGCCUACCAAGGCUACGACGCGUAGUGGGUCUGAGAGGACGACCCGCCACAUUGGGACUGAGAUACGGCCCAGACUCCUACGGGAGGCAGCAGUGGGGAAUAUUGCGCAAUGGCCGAAAGGCUGACGCAGCGACGCCGCGUGUGGGAGGAAGCUCUUCGGGGUGUAAACCACUGUCGGAGGGGAAGAACCCCGUCAACUCGAAUAGGGUUGGCGGCUGACGGUACCCUCAAAGGAAGCGCCGGCUAACUCCGUGCCAGCAGCCGCGGUAAGACGGAGGGCGCAAGCGUUGUUCGGAAUUACUGGGCGUAAAGCGCGAGCAGGUGGUCUGUUAAGUCUUUUGUGAAAACCCGGGGCUCAACUCCGU